rnacentral:lncRNA from 1 species
CCCACUGCACAUUAUCUCCUCUUCUACAACCAGACUUAAUCAUAGAACCUCAGCCAAACUACACCUUAGACCAUGCCGCGUCCAGUUCUAACACCCAACCUUCACUACACAUCCAUGCAGGAAAAUAUCCAAGCAAACAACCAAUUAUUCCAUCUUCCACGACUGAUCAUGCAGGGACCCCAGAUACCUCACAUCUCCACUCCAACCUAUAAUUCU